rnacentral:rRNA from 1 species
CCUACGGGUGGCAGCAGUGAGGAAUAUUGGUCAAUGGACGCAAGUCUGAACCAGCCAUGCCGCGUGCAGGAAGACGGCCCUAUGAGUUGUAAACCGCUUUUGUACGAGGGUAAACGCAGAUACGCGUAUCUGUCUGAAAGUAUCGUACGAAUAAGGAUCGACUAACUCCGUGCCAGCAGCCGCGGUAAUACGGAGGAUUCAAGCGUUAUCCGGAUUUAUUGGGGUUAAAGGGUGGUUAGGCGGUCGGGUAAGUUAGUGGUGAAAUCCCGAGGCUCAACUUCGGAAUUGCCUUUGAGACUGUUCGGCUAGAGAGUAGUUGCGGUAGGCGGAAUGCGUGGUGUAGCGGUGAAAUGCUUAGAGAUCAUACAGAACACCGAUUGCGAAGGCAGCUUACCAGGCUACUUCUGACGUUGAGGCACGAAAGCGUGGGGAGCGAACAGGAUUAGAUACCCCAGUAGUC